GCUGAGCAGAAGGAGCUGGGGCUGACAGUUCUCCUGAGUGAAAAGGAGUAAAGUAGCGGGGAUGUGGUGGCCGUGCUGACAAUGAGUUUUCUUGAAGGCUUUUUUGGUCCAGUUUGUGAGAUUGAUAUGUCUUUAAUGAUGGAGAAGCCAGGAAAAUGACAGAAAUGAAAACUGAAGAUGGCAAAGUAGAAAAACACCAUCUCUUUAUAAUGGAGAAUCUGUUUCAGGGAAGGUAAAUGUAGCCUUUAAGCAACCUGGAUAGAGGCUAGAGCACCAAGGAAUUAGAAUUGAAUUUAUAGGUCAAAUGGAACUUUACAAUGACAAGAGUAAUGCUCAUGAAUUUAUAAACCUAAUGAAAGAACUAGCCUUACCUGGAGAACUGACUCAGAGAAGAAGUUAUGAUUUUGAGUUUAUGCAAGUUAAAAAGCCAUAUGCAUCUGACAUCGGUGCCAGUGUUCACUUGAGCUUGCCACCUGUCCUGAUGUUAACAACUGUAUUAAGAUAGAAGUGGGCAUUGAAGAUUGUCUACAUAUAUAAUUUGAAUAUAGUAAGUCAAAGUAUCAUUUAAAGCAUGUAAUUGUUGGAAAAAUUUACUUCUUAGUAGUAAGAAUAAAAAUACAACAUAUGGAGUUACAACUGAUCAAAAAAGAGAUCACAGGAAUUGGACCCAGUACCACAGCAGAAACAGAAACAUCACCAAAUAUGAAAUAAUGGAUGGUGCACCAGUAAAAGGUGAAUCAAUUCCAAUGAGACUGUUUUUAGUGGGAUAUGACCCUACUCCAACAAUCAGAUGUGAACCAAAAAGUUUCAGUAAGGUACUUUUUGAAUUUAGUGUUUGUUGAUGAGGAAGACUGAAGGUACUUCAAACAGCAGGAGAUCAUUUUAUGAAGAAAAGCUCCUGAAAAACUGAGGAAACAGAGAAAAAACUUUCACCAGUGAUUUGAAUCUCCAGAAUCACAGGCAUCUGCUCAACAGCCUGAAAUGUGAACUGAAUAGGAGACCAAAAAAAAAAAGCAACAAA
rnacentral:lncRNA from 1 species